rnacentral:rRNA from 1 species
CCAGGUGUAGCGGUGAAAUGCGUAGAGAUCUGGAGGAAUACCGGUGGCGAAGGCGGCCCCCUGGACGAAGACUGACGCUCAGGUGCGAAAGCGUGGGGAGCAAACAGGAUUAGAUACCCUGGUAGUCCACGCCGUAAACGAUGUCGACUUGGAGGUUGUGCCCUUGAGGCGUGGCUUCCGGAGCUAACGCGUUAAGUCGACCGCCUGGGGAGUACGGCCGCAAGGUUAAAACUCAAAUGAAUUGACGGGGGCCCGCACAAGCGGUGGAGCAUGUGGUUUAAUUCGAUGCAACGCGAAGAACCUUACCUGGUCUUGACAUCCACAGAACUUUCCAGAGAUGGAUUGGUGCCUUCGGGAACUGUGAGACAGGUGCUGCAUGGCUGUCGUCAGCUCGUGUUGUAGAAAUGUUGGGUUAAGUCCCGCAACGAGCGCAACCCUUAUCCUUUGUUGCCAGCGGUCCGGCCGGGAACUCAAAGGAGACUGCCAGUGAUAAACUGGAGGAAGGUGGGGAUGACGUC